AUUGAACGCUGGCGGCAUGCCUUACACAUGCAAGUCGAACGGCAGCGGGGGAGAAGCUUGCUUUUCCUGCCGGCGAGUGGCGAACGGGUGAGUAAUACAUCGGAACGUGCCCUGUAGUGGGGGAUAACUAGUCGAAAGAUUAGCUAAUACCGCAUACGACCUGAGGGUGAAAGUGGGGGACCGCAAGGCCUCAUGCUAUAGGAGCGGCCGAUGUCUGAUUAGCUAGUUGGUGGGGUAAAGGCCUACCAAGGCGACGAUCAGUAGAUGGUCUGAGAGGACGAUCAGCCACACUGGGACUGAGACACGGCCCAGCCUCCUACGGGAGGCAGCAGUGGGGAAUUUUGGACAAUGGGCGAAAGCCUGAUCCAGCAAUGCCGCGUGUGUGAAGAAGGCCUUCGGGUUGUAAAGCACUUUUGUCCGGAAAGAAAUGGCUCUGGUUAAUACCUGGGGUCGAUGACGGUACCGGAAGAAUAAGGACCGGCUAACUACGUGCCAGCCGCCGCCGUAA
rnacentral:rRNA from 1 species